AAAAAAAAAAACCAAGAGCCCUGAUUUUCAAUUUUAGCUAUUAAUCACGGUUAAAGAGAAGAUGGACAGAAAACUCUUCGUCGGUGGCAACUGGAAAUGCAAUGGAAGAACUGCAGAGGUGAAGAAGAUUGUCACCACUCUGAAUGAAGCUGAACUCCCUUCAGAAGAUAUUGUGGAGGUUGUUGAGAGCCCUCCAUUUGUGUUUCUUGCUUUUGUGAAAAGUUUAUUGUGGUCUGAUUUCCAUGUUGUGUCACAGAACUGUUGGGUUCGCAAAGGUAGUGCUUUUACGGAGAGGUUAGGUAUGUUUGUAUUAAACUGCUAGGCAUGAAGUUUAGCGAACGAGUAAUUGUUCACAAAAUGACCAGUUUCUUGUUUGCUCGGUGCGGAGAUGCUGGUGAAUUUGGGCAUUCCGUGGGUCAUUGUUGGUCAUUCUGAAAGAAGACUUGUUCUAAAUGAGUCCAAUGAGGUAACAAGUGAUCAAAUUUUAUCUUUAGUUCUUCACUUUCUGUGGUUGAAUACAUCUUCACACAAUCAAGUAUCGUUCUUGCGGUUCUCCUUGUCCACGCAUUUUGUUGGUGACAAGGUUGCUUAAGCACUUUCUCAAGGCUUAAAAGUUAUUGCUUGUGUUGGGGAGACUCUUGAGCAACGAGAAACAGGAUCGACAGUGGCUGUUGUUGCUGCACAAACAAAAGCAAUCGCAGAAUGAGUAUCAAGCUGGGAGAACAUUGUUUUGGCUUAUGAACCAAUUUGGGCAAUUGGAACUCGGAAGGUUGCAAGCCCUGCUCAGACUCAGGAACCGGAGUUCAUCGACAUUAUCAAGUCAGCUAGAGUAGUGAAGAAGAAUGUCCGCUUGGAAACAAAGUUGGAUUUAAUAUGCAACAUUUAUAUACUUCUUUGAGCUAUGAGAAGUGAUUGGAAUAGUCAUCGCCAGAACGCGGAUGACGUUCAACGAUUGAUGUAGUAGAAACUGCACUUGCAUAUUAAUAGUUGACGGUCAUAGGUUCGUGGGCAACUAUACUUAGCAUAUUUCUUCAUUUAGAAGUAGCUUGUUGAGCCAUAAUGUAAUAAUAUACUGUUCCCAGUAUGCCACCCAAAAGAAAAUUAAAAAAAAUAUAGGCUACCAUACAAAAUAUUAAUAUUAAAGGGUCUGAUGCUCGACAAUCAAACCCUACUCUCAUCAUUUUCAAGAUCA